UUGUCUCAAAGAUUAAGCCAUGCAUGUCUCAGUACAAGCCAAAUUAAGGUGAAACCGCGAAAGGCUCAUUAAAUCAGUUAUGGUUCCUUAGAUCGUACCAACACUUUUACUUGGAUAACUGUGGUAAUUCUAGAGCUAAUACAUGCAAACAGAGCUCCGACCGGAGACGGAAGGAGCGCUUUUAUUAGAUCAAAACCAAUCGGCGGCGCGUUCGCUUGCGGACACGUCGUCGUUCUUAUUGACGAAUCUGAAUAACUUUCUGCUGAUCGCACGGUCUUGCACCGGCGACGCAUCUUUCAAAUGUCUGCCUUAUCAACUGUCGAUGGUAGGUUCUGUGCCUACCAUGGUUGUAACGGGUAACGGGGAAUCAGGGUUCGAUUCCGGAGAGGGAGCCUGAGAAACGGCUACCACAUCCAAGGAAGGCAGCAGGCGCGCAAAUUACCCACUCCCGGCACGGGGAGGUAGUGACGAAAAAUAACGAUACGGGACUCAUCCGAGGCCCCGUAAUCGGAAUGAGAACAAUUUAAAUCCUUUAACGAGGAUCAAUUGGAGGGCAAGUCUGGUGCCAGCAGCCGCGGUAAUUCCAGCUCCAAUAGCGUAUAUUAAAGUUGUUGCGGUUAAAAAGCUCGUAGUCGAAUCUGUGUCCCGCGCCGCCGGUUCGUCGCUCGCGGCGUUUAACUGGCGUGUCCGCGGGACGUCCUGCCGGUGGGCUUAGCUCUUUCACGAGGGCGGCCCAAUUACAAUCCCGCCGCGGUGCUCUUCAUUGAGUGUCGAGGCGGGCCGGCACGUUUACUUUGAACAAAUUAGAGUGCUUAAAGCAGGCUCAAACUUUGCCUGAAUACUUCGUGCAUGGAAUAAUGGAAUAGGACCUCGGUUCUAUUUUGUUGGUUUUCGGAACCCCGAGGUAAUGAUUAAUAGGAACGGAUGGGGGCAUUCGUAUUGCGACGUUAGAGGUGAAAUUCUUGGAUCGUCGCAAGACGGACAGAAGCGAAAGCAUUUGCCAAAGAA
rnacentral:rRNA from 1 species